GACGAACGCUGGCGGCGUGCUUAACACAUGCAAGUCGUACGGUAAGGCCCUUUCGGGGGUACACGAGUGGCGAACGGGUGAGUAACACGUGAGUAACCUGCCCACAACUUUGGGAUAACGCUAGGAAACUGGUGCUAAUACUGGAUAUGUGCCCCUGCUGCAUGGUGGGGGUUGGAAAGCUCCGGCGGUUGUGGAUGGACUCGCGGCCUAUCAGCUUGUUGGUGGGGUAGUGGCCUACCAAGGCGGCGACGGGUAGCCGGCCUGAGAGGGUGACCGGCCACAUUGGGACUGAGAUACGGCCCAGACUCCUACGGGAGGCAGCAGUGGGGAAUAUUGCACAAGGGGCGCAAGCCUGAUGCAGCAACGCCGCGUGCGGGAUGACGGCCUUAGGGUUGUAAAACGCUUUCAGCAGGGACGAAGCUUUUUGUGACGGUACCUGCAGAAGAAGCACCGGCUAACUACGUG
rnacentral:rRNA from 1 species